GCAGUCGUGGCCGAGUGGUUAAGGCGAUGGACUAGGAAUCCAUUAUGGUCUGCCCGCUCAGGUUCAAAUCCCGUUUACUGCG
rnacentral:tRNA from 2 species